rnacentral:rRNA from 1 species
AUACGGAGGGUGCAAGCGUUAAUCGGAAUUACUGGGCGUAAAGCGCGCGUAGGCGGCUAUAUAAGUCAGAUGUGAAAUCCCUGGGCUCAACCUAGGAACUGCAUUUGAAACUGUAUGGCUAGAGUAUGGUAGAGGUGAGUGGAAUUUCAGGUGUAGCGGUGAAAUGCGUAGAGAUCUGAAGGAACAUCAGUGGCGAAGGCGACUCACUGGGCCAUUACUGACGCUGAGGUGCGAAAGCGUGGGUAGCAAACAGGAUUAGAAACCCUAGUAGUCC